rnacentral:rRNA from 1 species
GACGAACGCUGGCGGCGUGCUUAACACAUGCAAGUCGAACGGAAAGGCCCCUUUGGGGGUACUCGAGUGGCGAACGGGUGAGUAACACGUGAGUAACCUGCCCUUGACUUCGGGAUAACUUCAGGAAACUGGGGCUAAUACCGGAUAGGAAUCCUUGCUGCAUGGUGGGGGUUGGAAAGCUUCGGCGGUUUUGGAUGGACUCGCGGCUUAUCAGCUUGUUGGUGGGGUAGUGGCUUACCAAGGCUUUGACGGGUAGCCGGCCUGAGAGGGCGACCGGCCACAUUGGGACUGAGAUACGGCCCAGACUCCUACGGGAGGCAGCAGUGGGGAAUAUUGCACAAUGGGCGGAAGCCUGAUGCAGCAACGCCGCGUGCGGGAUGACGGCCUUCGGGUUGUAAACCGCUUUCAGCAGGGGCCAAGCUUUUGUGACGGUACCUGCAGAAGAAGCACCGGCUAACUACGUG